rnacentral:rRNA from 1 species
CCUACGGGAGGCAGCAGUGAGGAAUAUUGGUCAAUGGGCGGGAGCCUGAACCAGCCAAGUCGCGUGAGGGACGACGGCCCUAUGGAUUGUAAACCUCUUUUGUCGGGGAACAAAGCCGCCCACGGGUGGGCGGAUGAGUGUACCCGAUGAAAAAGCAUCGGCUAACUCCGUGCCAGCAGCCGCGGUAAUACGGAGGCUGCGAGCGUUAUCCGGAUUUAUUGGGUUUAAAGGGUGCGUAGGCGGACAGUCAAGUCAGCGGUAAAAAUGCGGGGCUCAACGUCGUAUAGCCGUUGAUACUGGCAGUCUUGAGUGGGCGAGAGGUAUGCGGAAUGCGUGGUGUAGCGGUGAAAUGCAUAGAUAUCACGAAGAACCCCGAUUGCGAAGGCAGCAUACC